rnacentral:rRNA from 1 species
AGCGAACGCUGGCGGCAGGCUUAACACAUGCAAGUCGAACGCCCCGCAAGGGGAGUGGCAGACGGGUGAGUAACACGUGGGAACGUACCCUUGGGUUCGGAAUAACUUGGGGAAACUCAAUCUAAUACCGGAUAAGCCCUUAUGGGGAAAGGUUUACUGCCGGAGGAUCGGCCCGCGUCUGAUUAGCUAGUUGGUGAGGUAAGGGCUCACCAAGGCGACGAUCAGUAGCUGGUCUGAGAGGAUGAUCAGCCACACUGGGACUGAGACACGGCCCAGACUCCUACGGGAGGCAGCAGUGGGGAAUAUUGGACAAUGGGGGCAACCCUGAUCCAGCCAUGCCGCGUGAGUGAUGAAGGCCUUAGGGUUGUAAAGCUCUUUUACCCGGGACGAUAAUGACUGUACCGGGAGAAUAAGCCCCGGCUAACUUCGUGCCAGCCGCCGCCGUAA